rnacentral:rRNA from 1 species
GGUGGAUGCCUUGGCACUGAGAGCCGAUGAAGGACGUGAUAAGCUGCGAAAAGCUUCGGGGAGGAGCAAAUAUCCAUUGAUCCGGAGAUAUCCGAAUGGGGAAACCCACUUGAGCAAACCUCAAGUAUCCAUACGCCAAUCCAUAACGUAUGGAAGGGAACCGGGGGAACUGAAACAUCUAAGUACCCCGAGGAGAAGAAAGAAACCUCGAUUUCCAAAGUAGCGGCGAGCGAAAUGGAAAGAGCCCAAACCGUGGUGCGUGCACCGCGGGGUUGUGGACUGCAUAAGGUACUCGAAUCAAUAGCCGAACAGUUUUGGGAAAUCUGAUCAGAGAGGGUGAAAAUCCCGUAGGCGAAAUUGAUGAGAGGCUGGCAGGAUCCAGAGUACCACGAGACACGGGAAACCUUGUGGGAAGCAGGAGGGACCACCCUCCAAGGCUAAAUACUCCUCAGUGACCGAUAGCGCAUAGUACUGUGAAGGAAAGGUGAAAAGGACCCCGGGAGGGGAGUGAAAGAGAACCUGAAACCCUGUGUUUACAAGCUGUGGAAGUGCCUUAUGUGCACAACCGCGUACUUUUUGUAGAACGGUCCGGCGAGUUACGUUUACUGGCAAGGUUAAGCACUCAAGGUGCGGAGCCGAAGGGAAACCAAGUCUUAAGAGGGCGUGAAGUCAGUAAGAGUAGACCCGAAACCGGGUGAUCUACCCAUGUCCAGGCUGAAGCUGCCGUAAGAGGUAGUGGAGGGCCGAACGCACAUCCGUUGAAAAGGGUGGCGAUGAGGUGUGGGUAGGGGAGAAAUUCCAAUCGAACCCGGAGAUAGCUGGUUCUCCUCGAAAUAGCUUUAGGGCUAGCCUCGAUUUAGUCUUAUGGAGGUAGAGCACUGAAUUUCCGCGGGGGCGUCAAAGCUUACCAAAGAAUAUCAAACUCCGAAUGCCAUGUAGAUGAUGAUCGGGAGUCAGACUGCACGAGAUAAGUUGGGCAGUCAAAAGGGAAAGAGCCCAGACCUGCUGCUAAGGUCCCAAAGUACGUGUUAAGUGGAAAAGGAUGUGGGAUUUCGAAGACAACUAGGAUGUUGGCUCAGAAGCAGCCACACAUUCAAAGAGUGCGUAAUAGCUCACUAGUCGAGAGGUCCUGCGCCGAAAAUGUCCGGGGCUGAAACACGACACCGAAGCUUAGGAAUCACAUAGUGAUUGGUAGAGGAGCAUUCUUAAAACCGACGAAGCUGUACCGGAAGGAGCAGUGGAGGGAUAAGAAGAGAGAAUGCCGGAAUGAGUAGCGAGAGAGAGGUGGGAAUCCUCUCGGCCGAAUAUCCAAGGUUUCCAGGGUAAAGCUGAUCUGCCCUGGGUAAGUCGGGGCCUAAGGAGAGGCAGAAAUGCGUAUCCGAUGGACAGCAGGUUGAGAUUCCUGCACUAUCUUAAAACAGAACUGUGGGGACAUUUGUGGAGAGCACAGGCGCGGAACGGAAAGCCGCGUGCAAGCGAAGGAGGAGUCACAUAGGAAAAACCGUGUGGCAAUCCAAAGGCGUGAUGCGGACCGAACUAAAGUAGGGAAGUGUGUGAGCCAUGAAUCAAGAAAAGCCGCUAUUGUUUUUAAGAUACCCGUACCGUAAACCGACACAGGUGGAUGAGGAGAGAAUCCUAAGGCCGGCGGAAGAAGCAUUGUUAAGGAACUCGGCAAAAUGACCCCGUAACUUCGGGAGAAGGGGUGCCACAGAAAUGUGGCCGCAGAGAAUAGGCUCAAGCAACUGUUUAGCAAAAACACAGGUCUAUGCAAAACCGAAAGGUGAGGUAUAUGGGCUGACGCCUGCCCGGUGCUGGAAGGUUAAGAGGAGAGGUUAGCGCAAGCGAAGCUUUGAAUUUAAGCCCCAGUAAACGGCGGCCGUAACAAUAACGGUCCUAAGGUAGCGAAAUUCCUUGUCGGGU